UACAGAGGGUGCGAGCGUUGUCCGGAAUCACUGGGCGUAAAGGGCGCGUAGGCGGCUUGGUAAGCGUGCGGUGAAAGCCCGGGGCUCAACCCCGGGUCGGCCGUGCGAACUGCUGGGCUGGAGCACUGUAGAGGCAGGUGGAAUUCCGGGUGUAGCGGUGGAAUGCGUAGAUAUCGGGAGGAACACCUGUGGCGAAAGCGGCUCACUGGACCACAACUGACGCUGAGGCGCGAAAGCUAGGGGAGCAAACAGG
rnacentral:rRNA from 1 species